GAUAAGAGGGAUCAAUAGCAACAGCAGGAAUCAGGAUUAGUAUAGGCUGAGAGACUAUUGUGACUAUAGUAUGUCUUGUUCCUUAAAUCUCGUAGCUGUUUACUUUUAGCUUUCUAACCGUGUUUGGCAUUUGUUGUGAUUUUGCUUUAAGUAGGAGCCUCAUCCUGUCUUCAUAGUUACAAAACAAGGAUAGAAAUUAGAUAAUUAGAUUUUAAAUGCAGUUUAUUUUUGAAAAGAACCUAGAUGUGUCAUUUCCCUUGCAGCUAAAGGUGCUGUCAGGCUCUGUAUACAGAAACAGUAGGAAAAGGAGAGAUACUGACAAAAUAAUUCAAUGGUAUGUGUGAACUCACUUGCUGAUUCUGUGAUUUGGAUACAAAUCAACAUAUUGGUCAAGACCUCAGAUAACCCAUUUGUAGCUGCUGAUUUAAAAAAAAUUGGGAAGUUCAGCAGUUACUUGGCUUCUUGGUUAACUGCAGCAGCAAGAAUUAAGUGGAAGAUAGCUCACAGCCUCUUUCUUCUGAAUUGCUUGCUUCCAUAACUUGUGCUGGUCGAGUUAGUUGACUAGGAUAGCAUGAAGUUCUCUGCCAACAACAGCCACCUCUUUUGAAUGUGCAGUAACCCUCACUGUAGAUGUAUGGCAGAGGAAGGAUGUGAUGUAUCCUACAAUCACGAUUCUGCACUUCAAGGAAGCCGUGACCUUCUGUUCUUCUAUUUUCAGUUUCAAUUGGUCAGCAGAUUAAAAGACUAAAUUUGAGUCAUGGGAAAGUUGAGAAAACAAGAUAUCCUUGAGUUCAAACUGAGCAUGAAGAUACUGAAAUGCCUACUGAAAUUAAAAGAAUAUAUGCUGACCAAACUAAAGAUCGACUAGUAUAGCCAUUUCUUGGAAACUUCGUCUUUGUAGCUUUUUCUGUUAGCCUGUUCAGAUCCUUAUGCUGCAGUGGUAUAUUUAAGUGAAAUAAUUGUAACACCUGCUGGGAAUGGGAAACUACCUCUGAAAGGCUGUUUCUUGCUACAUUUAAGAUGGCUACU
rnacentral:lncRNA from 7 species